rnacentral:rRNA from 1 species
GACGAACGCUGGCGGCGUGCUUAACACAUGCAAGUCGAGCGGUAAGGCCUUUCGGGGUACACGAGCGGCGAACGGGUGAGUAACACGUGGGUGACCUGCCCUCCACUCUGGGAUAAGCCUGGGAAACUGGGUCUAAUACCGGAUAUGACCUUCUGCUUCAUGGUGGUUGGUGGAUAGUUUGUCGGUGGGGGGUGGGCCCGCGGCCUAUCAGCGUGUUGGGGGGGUGAGGGCCCACCAAGGGGACGGCGGGUGGCCGGCCUGAGAGGGCGACCGGCCACACUGGGACUGAGACACGGCCCAGACUCCUACGGGAGGCAGCAGUGGGGAAUAUUGGGCAAUGGGCGGAAGCCUGACGCAGCGACGCCGCGUGGGGGAUGACGGCCUUCGGGUUGUAAACCUCUUUCGCCAGGGACGAAGCUUCGGUGACGGUACCUGGAUAAGAAGCACCGGCCAACUACGUGCCAGCCGCCGCCGUAAGAC